CGCGGCACCAGGGGGCACCGUGCGCUGCGCCUCCGGUCUCGAAGGAUCUAACAAGCGGUUGAUGCAGCUGCGAAUGUGUAGUCAGUCGGCUUUUAUCGUUUUAUGUUGUGCAGAUUGUUAGUUCACCGUAAAUAUGUCUUGAUUUGUACUCAAGAGUGGAGCAAGGCCCCAAGGAACAGAGAUUGACGCAACGGGAGCGAAGAACAGAAGCGAUGGAUGGUUACGCUGGUUGACUCUCGGCAUGUUCAAAAUGGCGAAGUUCCGAAUUUGUCGCUGUGUGACGUGCGCGUGUGUGCUCGUGAUGUGCCGUCAUAGCGCGGGGAUAUUUGUGCUGAAUGUGUUUCACUUCGUCUACAAAACUCUGCACGCAAUGGCAUCGAAGAAGUCGUGUGUUCAGGUGCACGUAUGUGCAUGCUUGGAUACGGAAAGCCUGCCCUCAACGGUAGCGCUGAGCUCAGCCGUGUUGGCUCAGCGCUACCCCCUCAACGGAUGUUCAACAGUCUACGUGCUCGUAACUUGCUCACGAGACCUCCUUGCUGUUGCAACUCUGAGGACAAUUGCUUCAAAUGGGAAGGAACAACCAGCACUGCCAGCGCUAUUUGUACAUGAGGACACCUCCUUGCUGUUGCAACUCUGAGGACAAUUGCUUCAAAUGGGAAGGAACAACCAGCAGUGCCAGCGCUAUUUGUACAUGAGGACACCUCCUUGCUGUUGCAACUCUGAGGACAAUUGCUUCAAAUGGGAAGGAACAACCAGCAGUGCCAGCGCUAUUUGUACAUGAGGACGACGAGAGGGUUCCACUCACCCCCUGUGUGCUGUAUUCUGGCCACAACCUGGAACAGGCAGAGUUUCUCCACCUCUGUGUCGACAAGGAGCGGCUGUUCAUGGUCAAAAAUGCGGAGGAAGGGGUCAUCGCAAUCAUGAGUGCAUUUUUUGUAUUGAACAUAGUAUAUGGGCCUAAAUACUUCAACACCAGUGCAGUACUGGAACGAUUGUUUUUUGGUUUGAAUGUAAUAAUGCCAAGUGGUUGUUACAAAGUUUGUGAACAGAGUUGUGCAGGCAAUGCGACACCGAGGUUCAUGUACGUUACCAUACGAAUGCUAGCCUGACAAUUUUGUGCAAUAGCUUGAGCAAUAGUUUUAUGCAAUUUUUAAUGUAUCAUUUUCUUUCUUUUUGAUCACGAUAAUAGCAUGAUCCAGUAACUUCUUCCGCUGUUUGUGCCAACCACCUAUAGACUGCACCUUUUUUUGUUCUGAUGACUUGACAGACAAUGUAAUAGUGCCCAAGUGUAGGUCAGCAAAAAACAAACGUGGUGUACUGUAGUCUGCACGUACUUAUCGAAAACGUUGCUGGGUGUUGCUAUGUGCUGAAAAGAAGAUUACAAUACGUCUACUUCUAAUGAGGUCUGCCUUAACAUUAAUGUGUGUGAAACAAUUGUCAGCAGUUUUAUACAAAGAUUAUAGCUUGCUUGCUCUUCCUUAACAUAGUUUGUUUAUGAAACCUAUUUGCCAGCCAGGGAACAAUGUCCCAGCUUAUAAGUACUGCAUGAUACAACUGUUAACAUUUGUAUUCCCUUAUAGGGCACAUCAACACUGGCAGCCAGUGCUCAACUUUUCGUAACAUGCCGCUUGGUCAAUAUUUUAUAUUUUGCGCAUUUGUUGCAUUGUGUAACCUACCCAAUACAAGUGAAAGUUUUUGUGGUUUGACUGUCCUUUUAUGAACUAUGUUUUAUGUUUAUUAUGUAUAACUUAGCAGCUGAGGCCUGACAUACUAGUCAAAACGCAGCAGAGUAUCCAAUUUUUAUAAGGUUUUACAAGGUUUUUACAAGUUUUGGAUUGUAAAACAAUGUUACGUGGAACAAUUAUCAGGCUGCAGUACUGUUACAUUGUCAUGAAUACCGGCAGCCUUUGCUUAACCUUUAUGAAUCUGCUGGCAGGCUGUAGUAUCUUUAGCUCGUUUAUUUUUUGUACAUGUGUUGCCAAUGCCUCAUCCGAGUGAAAGCUAGUCGCUUAUAUACUACAUAUACUGGUGUUUCUACAAAGAAUUUACAUAAUAUUUAAAAAUAGCCGUUCUGAAGUACAAGGACGGCUCGUUAGAAGACAGCAAUGCUGUCAGUGGUGCCGACCAUGGUUGGAUGGGUGAUAUCUGGUAAUUAGUUGCUAAUUAACAAUCUAAUAUAUCUUACUUUUAGUUUCAGCAGACUCAUUGUA